rnacentral:rRNA from 1 species
GACGAACGCUGGCGGCGUGCUUAACACAUGCAAGUCGAACGGAAAGGCCCUGCUUUUGUGGGGUGCUCGAGUGGCGAACGGGUGAGUAACACGUGAGUAACCUGCCCUUGACUUUGGGAUAACUUCAGGAAACUGGGGCUAAUACCGGAUAGGAGCUCCUGCUGCAUGGUGGGGGUUGGAAAGUUUCGGCGGUUGGGGAUGGACUCGCGGCUUAUCAGCUUGUUGGUGGGGUAGUGGCUUACCAAGGCUUUGACGGGUAGCUGGCCUGAGAGGGUGACCGGCCAUAUUGGGACUGAGAUACGGCCCAGACUCCUACGGGAGGCAGCAGUGGGGAAUAUUGCACAAUGGGCGGAAGCCUGAUGCAGCAACGCCGCGUGCGGGAUGACGGCCUUCGGGUUGUAAACCGCUUUCGCCUGUGACGAAGCGUGAGUGACGGUAAUGGGUAAAGAAGCACCGGCUAACUACGUG